rfam:Gossypium raimondii Chr07_contig_1024, whole genome shotgun sequence.
AGGCCAUGGUAUGGACACAUAUGGAGUAUGAGUUUAAAGCGCUCCCACGCCUCAUAUAAAAAUACUCUCUCAAAUUGAUCGAAAUUAGUGAUGUUCAUCCUCGGCUU